UGAGUGUCCUCAUGGCAUGACAACUGGC
rnacentral:piRNA from 1 species